AGUGAAGAAGCGGAAAAAGUGGCGACACCACCACCACCACCACUAACGCCACCAUUUCCGCCACAACUAGUAGCAAUGGCACCAGUAUCAGAUCUAAAAGAAGGCGGGGAAGAAGAAGAAGAAGGUGAAGCACGAAUAGGUAAAGGAAAAGAAGAAGAAACCAACUUGCCUAGCUUCUCUUGAAGGCAAAAAGCACAGAUCCCACCAGGGUUAUUUCUAUAAGGAUGAUUACUGCAUUGCAUACCAUCUCCCAUAUCUUCUUCAACACCAACACCAACUCUACCUCCUCCUCCACCUUUGAUU
rnacentral:lncRNA from 1 species